rnacentral:rRNA from 1 species
UACGAAGGGUGCAAGCGUUAUUCGGAUUGAUUGGGCGUAAAGGGUGCGCAGACGGUAUGUUAAGUCAACUGUUAAAUUUCCCGGCUUAACCGGGGAGCAAGCGGUAGAAACUGGCGUACUAGAGGGUGGAAGAGGGAAGUGGAAUUCUCGGAGUAGCGGUAAAAUGCGUAGAUCUCGAGAGGAACACCGAUGGCGAAGGCAGCUUCCUGGUCCAUUUCUGACGUUCAUGCACGAAAGCGUGGGGAGCAAACAGG